UGCCUGCUCCAGGCUCCCCCGGCCACACAAGGAUUACUUCCGGGUCUAACCGGAAGUGACGGAGAACUGCUUCAGGGGGCUGGCUGCGCGCUGGUAGCCAGCAGGCCCUGGGGAGGCCCAGACUCUCUACCACUUCGAGGCGUCCAAGGACAUAGCUCAUACGGGGUACCAGAGCGGAAGUCCCUGUAGAGCUGUGCCUCUCCCCACCCAGAAAAAAGACUCAUGGCAAAUCUUGUCUCAGGGGUCCAGCAAUUCUCUUGCCCCAGUAGGUGCUUUCAUUACUGACGGCUAACUGCCUAGGGCUCAGAAGCCUCCGAGGAGGAUGUUGGAGAACGGCUGGAGGGUUUGUGUUCCAUCUGCCAACAGGCUGCACAGAAGAUAUGGAACCAUGGGAAUAUGUAUGGCGGCAGCAUAAACUAAGUCCCACCGGGGCUGGGGUUGUGGUUCAAUGGUAGAGCAGUGGCCUAGCAGGUGGGAGGCCCUGGGUUCAAUCUUCAGCACCACAUAAAAAUAAAUAAAAUAAAAGCAU